UUUGCUUGUCAUCCUUGCGCAGGGGCCAUGCUAAUCUUCUCUGUAUAGUUCCAAUUUUAGUAUAUGUGCUGCCGAAGCGAGCAAGGUAGCAAUAAGA